AACCAACGCUGGCGGCGUGCCUAAUACAUGCAAGUCGAACGGGGAAAGCUUUCGGGUGAGUACUAGUGGCGCACGGGUGAGGAACGCGUGGAUAAUCUGCCUUAGAGUGGGGGAUAACUAGCCGAAAGAUUAGCUAAUACCGCAUAAGACCACGAGAGCUGCGGCUUUUGAGGUCAAAGGUUUUUCGCUCUAAGAUGAGUCCGCGUAAGAUUAGCUAGUUGGUGAGGUAACGGCUCACCAAGGCGACGAUCUUUAACUGGUCUGAGAGGAUGAUCAGUCAAACUGGAACUGAGACACGGUCCAGACUCCUACGGGAGGCAGCAGUAGGGAAUAUUGCACAAUGGAGGAAACUCUGAUGCAGCGACGCCGCGUGAGAGAUGAAGGCCUUCGGGUCGUAAAGCUCUGUCGCAGGGGAAUAACACAAUGAAGGUACCCUGUAAGAAAGGAUCGGCUAACUUCG
rnacentral:rRNA from 1 species